AUUGAACGCUGGCGGAAUGCUUUACACAUGCAAGUCGAGCGGCAGCGCGGGGGCAACCCUGGCGGCGAGCGGCGAACGGGUGAGUAACAUAUCGGAACGUACCCAGUCGUGGGGGAUAACUAUCCGAAAGGAUAGCUAAUACCGCAUACGUCCUGAGGGAGAAAGCGGGGGAUCGCAAGACCUCGCGCGAUUGGAGCGGCCGAUAUCGGAUUAGCUAGUUGGUGGGGUAAAGGCUCACCAAGGCGACGAUCCGUAGCGGGUCUGAGAGGACGACCCGCCACACUGGAACUGAGACACGGUCCAGACUCCUACGGGAGGCAGCAGUGGGGAAUUUUGGACAAUGGGGGCAACCCUGAUCCAGCCAUUCCGCGUGAGUGAAGAAGGCCUCGGUUGUAAGUACGU
rnacentral:rRNA from 1 species